AGCGAACGCUGGCGGCAGGCCUAACACAUGCAAGUCGAACGGACCCUUCGGGGUUAGUGGCGGACGGGUGAGUAACACGUGGGAACGUGCCUUUAGGUUCGGAAUAGCUCCUGGAGACGGGUGGUAAUGCCGAAUGUGCCCUUCGGGGGAAAGAUUUAUCGCCUUUAGAGCGGCCCGCGUCUGAUUAGCUUGUUGGUGGGGUAAUGGCCCACCAAGGCUACGAUCAGUAGCUGGUCUGAGAGGAUGACCGGCCACAUUGGGACUGAGACACGGCCCAAACUCCUACGGGAGGCAGCAGUGGGGAAUCUUGCGCAAUGGGCGAAAGCCUGACGCAGCCAUGCCGCGUGUAUGAUGAAGGUCUUAGGAUUGUAAAAUACUUUCACCGGUGAAGAUAAUGACUGUAGCCGGAGAAGAAGCCCCGGCUAACUUCGUGCCAGCAGCCGCGGUAAUACGAAGGGGGCUAGCGUUGCUCGGAAUUACUGGGCGUAAAGGGAGCGUAGGCGGACAUUUAAGUC
rnacentral:rRNA from 1 species